rnacentral:rRNA from 1 species
UACGUAGGGGGCAAGCGUUGUCCGGAUUUAUUGGGCGUAAAGAGCGUGUAGGCGGCCUUACAGGUCAGCUGUGAAAACUCGAGGCUCAACCUCGAGACGUCGGUUGAAACCGUAAGGCUAGAGUCCGGAAGAGGAGAAGUGGAAUUCCCGGUGUAGCGGUGAAAUGCGCAGAUAUCGGGAAGAACACCAGUGGCGAAGGCGGCUUUCUGGACAUUUAC